rnacentral:rRNA from 1 species
CCCGCUGAACUUAAGCAUAUUAAUAAGCGGAGGAAAAGAAACUAACAAGGAUUCCCUCAGUAACGGCGAGUGAAGUGGGAAAAGCUCAAAUUUGAAAUCUCAAAGACAUUGAAAUCUUUUUGUCUUUGCGAAUUGUAAUUUGAAGAAGUGCGUUAAUUAGUAACAAUAAUUUUUAGAGUAUAAGUCUUUUUGGAACAAGGCAUCAUAGAGGGUGAGAAUCCCGUCUUUGACUCUAUUUUUGUUACAUUAAAAAAAGUUCGCACUUUCAAAGAGUCGGGUUGUUUGGGAUUGCAGCCCAAAAUGGGUGGUAAGUUUCAUCUAAGGCUAAAUAUUGGCGAGAGACCGAUAGCGAACAAGUACCGUGAGGGAAAGAUGAAAAGUACUUUGAAAAGAGAGUUAAAUAGUACGUGAAAUUGUUAAAAGGGAAACGCUUGAAACCAAUGUAUGCUGUUGACAAAAAUUCAGCUGGAAGAUUAUAUUUUUGUGUAUAACGGUAGAGCUUAAUUUUUCAUUUUGGGCCUGUGUUAUGCAUUUUAAGAUUUAAUCGGCCAGUGCACUUUUUUGUCUAACAGGUCAACAUCAAUUUUAUUUGCUGGACAAAACUUUUUUUUUGGAAGGUAUCUCUGUUUCUCCUUUUUUUUGGGGAGACAUGGAGAGUUAUAGCCGUAAAAGUCAAUACAGUGAUUAAGAUUGAGGAUCGCAGUGCGAGCCAAAAAUUUGGCGGGGUAAUUCUAUUGCUGUUAGCUAAUUGUUUUAUAGUACAAACAAAAAGAAAAUAAAUUUUUUUUUUUUGUUUGGCUAUAGAUAAUUUUUGCUGACACACAGUGGAUAAACCACCUUCGCGCUUAGGAUGUUGACAAAAUGGUUUUAAACGACCCGUCUUGAAACACGG